UACGAGGGGGGCAAGUGUUGUUCGGAAUCACUGGGCGUAAAGUGUGCGCAGGCGGCGCCGCAAGUCGAGUGUGAAAGCCCCGGGCUUAACUUGGGAAUUGCGCUCGAAACUAUGGUGCUGGAGUGUGGCAGAGGAAGGUGGAAUUCCACGUGUAGCGGUGAAAUGCGUAGAGAUGUGGAGGAACACCGAUGGCGAAGGCAGCCUUCUGGGCCAACACUGACGCUCAUGCACGAAAGCGUGGGGAGCAAACAGG
rnacentral:rRNA from 1 species